rnacentral:rRNA from 1 species
UACGUAGGGGGCUAGCGUUGUCCGGAAUCAUUGGGCGUAAAGAGCGUGUAGGCGGUCCGGUAAGUCCGCUGUGAAAGUCGGGGGCUCAACCCUCGAAUGCCGGUGGAUACUGUCGGGCUAGAGUGCGGAAGAGGCGAGUGGAAGUUCCUGGUGGUAGCGGUGAAAUGCGCAGAUAUCAGGAGGAACACCUAUUGCGAAGGCAGCUCGCUGGGACGUAACUGACGCUGAGACGCGAAAGCGUGGGGAGCAAACAGG